rnacentral:ncRNA from 2 species
GUUAUCAAGAGUGAGUGAGAGAACGGCUCUAUGACCUCACAGCAACCUGUUAGAUACAAGGUGCUAAAACCGGCAAAGUAAGUGCUUUGAGUGAUAA